ACAAAUUAUCUUCUAAUUUCAAUUAUAUGUUGUCUUAUUAUAAAUAGUACAUCGUGAUUUAAGCUUCUUCACAUCUAUAGGCGGAAGAGCCAUCCAAAAUGGCUGAAAAAAAUGACAACGAAUAAGACGAAGAAGGCGAUGAAGUCAAAGCAACUCCAAAAUCAUAGAAUCGCGGUCGACGAAGAGAAAAGAGACUAUCGUAUCAAUGAAGAUGAAGAGGAAACACAAGAUAAGAAAGUUGUUAUAUUCAAAUUUAGAGAGACCAACUCCUUUUGGGUGAUGGGCGGUACAAAACAACGGUGCCUAUGAAUAUGUAUCGUGGUGUCGGAAAAGAGGAUAUGUAAGAGAUUACUCGCCGUCUAUACUAUAUUCGGCCAAAGGACAUUAUAGCAUGUGCUUGCUAGUAUAGAUGUUUGUAAUGGUACAAUAUUAUUUAAGAUAUAGUAUAUAUCUACUAUAGUUAUACUAUAUCCAUAAAACAAAACAGUAUGUGUUACCCUCAAAUUCAACACUUUCUUAUUCAUCGUGUUAAGCUACAAUGUAAUAUACUAUUUAUCAUGUUUCGUUUUAUUUGAUGAUUGAGAA
rnacentral:lncRNA from 1 species